UACAGAGGUGGCAAGCGUUGUUCGGAAUUACUGGGCGUAAAGGGCGCGUAGGCGGCCUUCUAAGUCAGACGUGAAAUCCCCCGGCUUAACCUGGGAACUGCGUCUGAUACUGGAAGGCUUGAGUUUGGGAGAGGGAUGCAGAAUUCCAGGUGUAGCGGUGAAAUGCGUAGAUAUCUGGAGGAAUACCGGUGGCGAAGGCGGCAUCCUGGACCAACACUGACGCUGAGGCGCGAAAGCUAGGGGAGCAACGGG
rnacentral:rRNA from 1 species